rnacentral:rRNA from 1 species
UACGUAGGGUGCAAGCGUUGUCCGGAAUUAUUGGGCGUAAAGAGCUCGUAGGCGGUUUGUCGCGUCGGCUGUGAAAACCUAGGGCUCAACCCUGGGCCUGCAGCCGAUACGGGCAAGCUAGAGUUCGGUAGGGGAGACUGGAAUUCCUGGUGUAGCGGUGAAAUGCGCAGAUAUCAGGAGGAACACCGGUGGCGAAGGCGGGUCUCUGGGCCGAUACUGACGCUGAGGAGCGAAAGCGUGGGGAGCAAACAGG